UACGUAGGGUGCAAGCGUUGUCCGGAAUUAUUGGGCGUAAAGAGCUCGUAGGCGGUUUGUCGCGUCUGCUGUGAAAACUCAGGGCUUAACUCUGAGCUUGCAGUGGGUACGGGCAGACUAGAGUGCGGUAGGGGAGACUGGAAUUCCUGGUGUAGCGGUGAAAUGCGUAGAUAUCGGGAGGAACACCUGUGGCGAAGGCGGCCCCCUGGUUGGAUACUGACGCUGAUACGCGAAAGCGUGGGGAGCAAACAGG
rnacentral:rRNA from 1 species